rnacentral:misc_RNA from 1 species
GAAGAGAGUCGGGGAAAUGAGGACCAUGUUGCAAUUAUCAAGGAUUACCGUGGCAAAAUCGAGACUGAACUGAGCAAGAUCUGUGAUGGAAUUUUGAGCCUACUUGAGUCUCAUCUCAUCCCAUCAGCCUCAUCUGCUGAGUCAAAGGUGUUUUAUCUCAAAAUGAAAGGUGAUUACCACAGGUACCUGGCUGAGUUUAAGACUGGAGCUGAAAGAAAAGAAGCAGCUGAGAGCACAUUGUUAGCCUACAAGUCUGCUCAGGAU